rnacentral:lncRNA from 1 species
CCGCAACAAAGGAGGAAAAUGUUCUUGGUGACAAGAAGCCACAGAAGAUGGCGGGUGGAGAAAGCCCAUCAGGCCCUUCCCCAGCAGGGGCGGAAACGGUCCCCAGCGGAGAGGGCCUGGAAGGAGAGGGCGCCCCCGAGGACUCAGCAGGGAGGUGCAGCUUGAUGGGAUGGCAGGUGUGAGACAGGAGAAGUGGGAGCCCCACAGGAGCCCGAGAUCACAGUGUCAGGCUGAGCAGCCACAGGCCCAAGCCACCCAGGCUGUCUGUGGGACUCAGGGAAGAUGGGUCCUGAAGAAGGAUGGCUGGAGCCCAGCCACAGACGGGACGUUGGAGGGCAGUGCGGGCCGCAACAGGGUGGGUGGAGCAGAUGCUGCUUCUCCCAGUAGGAACACAGGAAAUGCAAUGGGAAACUUCAGGAAAAAUGGACAAAGGACUUAGAAAUUCAUGGCUAAGGGACACCCUACAAGGUGACGUGGCUUUGAGUUCCAGGCUGGAUGGAAGAAAAGAGAAGCCAGUGGGCUGGAUGCCAGGACCACGUGCCUUCAGUGCUGCAGGGAGGGCCUGAGCCCAGACGUGUCUGUGGAGAGGAAAGCAUUGUCCCCGGGCCCCUGGCUGUGCACAGAUUAAGUGUUUACAGCGACAGGCACUAUGGUCUCAAGGUCCAGUGUCAGAGGUCACACGACGGGGGCGU